rnacentral:lncRNA from 1 species
AAAAUUUCAUCACUCACUUAACUUUGCUCUCUGUCACGUUAUAGUCACUGAACUUUAGUUUGCUGCUCAACGGUCAUUGAACUUACAAAUGAACCGCUCCAUCCAUUACCUAGCCAUCCGGCCGUUUGAACAAGUCUCACGUGGCUUGACGGCAACCGGUGUGGCAAGAGACGGCCUCAAUCUCAGCCACGGUGGACGCGAUUUCACAGCUAAAAACACGAUAAUUCAUCUCAUAAUUUCACAAUCCAUAUUCUGCCAUCCCCAAUUCGAAAUCCAAACCCUAGCCCCAAAUCAAUUUCCUGCAAAAUCCUCCCCAGAUCGAUUCUUCCACAACAACACUUUUUUUUUCUCAGAUUAGUUGUAUCUUUGGAGUGCAUUUUAUCAUUUUUCCCGUGAUUUGUGGAAGCGUAGGGGCAUCGAAGAGAUGUCUAGUUUUGGGGGAGUUAUUGUGUCCGAUCAAUGGCUUUAGAGUUAGUUUACGCAAGUCGAACUUCGGAGCCUCAAAUCCAAAGUAACUUCCAUUUAAUAAUUUUUUUUCUUAUUUGUUUUUUGGUGCUAUUGUUGAAUCGUGUGGUGAAAUAAAUUUGCUUUCACAAUGAGAAUUUUGGAACUUGUUUUUGGGCAUUGUUGUGUACUUAAUUGAUGUUUGAAGUGUGGGGUUCAUGUCAUUGUUCUUGUUCUUGUCAUUGUUUUUAUUGUUUUUAGUUCAUAUCUAUAAAGAAUCAGAAUGGCAAAGUUACAUUUGGGGAUUUACCACCUUUGAUGGCAAAACUAAAGGUAUACAACGACAAGUUCAACGAGGAGGAGAUCAGGAGAGUGUUGGAAGAAGAGUGGUUCUAGCUAUACUAUGACUGUGGUGGAGAGGAAUUGUAAUGACAGUGAUGAAAAUUUAUAUUAACUUGUACUAGGAUUCUGAUGGGCUUUUGGUAACUACAUUUUUGGCACUUUGGAUGAGCAGAUGUAUUUGGAUUUACAAAUUUGAGCUACUGCCAAAGUGGGGUGUUCACGAAAUAUUUCUUUCGAUUUAAAACCUCCGUAAAGUGGGGAAAGGAAAGGGAAUAGUUGAUUGAAUUUGUUCUAACAAUUUGACGGAGUCAAAUUAAGUGCAUUGUAAGAGUUUGUUGUAAGACAUUUGUUGUUUAUCAAUUUUAAAGUUUAUCAUCCAAUUUAUGCUUGUAGUAAAAAGUAUCCCGGUAUGUGUGGUUUUCGUUCUUGAAUUAUCCUUGUGACACUUUUGGUAUACAUAUGUUUGCUUUCAUAAUUAGCAGAACCCACUGGCCAAUAUCUAAUAUCUGCAUCUUGAUCCUUAGUGAACAUCAUCAGAAUCAGAACCUUCUCUCCAG